rnacentral:rRNA from 1 species
ACUUAGUGGCGGACGGGUGAGUAACGCGUGGGUAACCUGCCCUGUACAGGGGGACAACAGCUGGAAACGGCUGCUAAUACCGCAUAAGCCCUUAGCACUGCAUGGUGCAUAGGGAAAAGGAGCAAUCCGGUACAGGAUGGACCCGCGUCUGAUUAGCCAGUUGGCAGGGUAACGGCCUACCAAAGCGACGAUCAGUAGCCGAUCUGAGAGGAUGUACGGCCACAUUGGGACUGAGACACGGCCCAGACUCCUACGGGAGGCAGCAGUGGGGAAUAUUGCACAAUGGAGGAAACUCUGAUGCAGCGACGCCGCGUGAGUGAAGAAGUAUUUCGGUAUGUAAAGCUCUAUCAGCAGGGAAGAAAAUGACGGUACCUGACUAAGAAGCACCGGCUAAAUACGUGCCAGCAGCCGCGGUAAUACGUAUGGUGCAAGCGUUAUCCGGAUUUACUGGGUGUAAAGGGAGCGUAGUUGGCAAGGCAAGCCAGAAGUGAAAACCCGGGGCUCAACCGCGGGAUUGCUUUUGGAACUGUCAUGCUAGAGUGCAGGAGGGGUGAGCGGAAUUCCUAGUGUAGCGGUGAAAUGCGUAGAUAUUAGG